CCUACGGGAGGCAGCAGUGGGGGAUAUUGCACAAUGGGGGAAACCCUGAUGCAGCGACGCCGCGUGUGGGAAGACGGUCCUCUGGAUUGUAAGCCACUUUCCCCAGGGACGAAGCUGACGGUACCUGGGGCGGAAGCUCCGGCUAACUACGUGCCAGCAGCCUCGGUAAUACGUAGGGAGCGAGCGUUGUCAGGAAUUACUGGGUGUAAAGGGAGCGUAGGCGGGGAUGAAAGUUGGGUGUCAAAACUACCGGCUAAACUGGUAGUCGCACUCAAAACUGGAGCUCUUGAGUGAAGUAGAGGCAGGUGGAAUUCCGAGUGUAGCGGUGAAAUGCGUAGAUAUUAGGAGGAACACCAGUGGCGAAGGCGGCCUGCUGGGCUUUUACUGACGCUGAGGCUCGAAAGUGUGGGGAGCAAACAGGAUUAGAUACCCGAGUAGUC
rnacentral:rRNA from 1 species